UACGGAGGGUGCAAGCGUUGCUCGGAAUUACUGGGCGUAAAGCGUACGCAGGCUGUCCGUUAAGUCGGGUGUGAAAGCCCGGGGCUCAACCCCGGAAUUGCGCCCGAAACUGACGGGCUUGAGUGCGGGAGAGGGAAGCGGAAUUCCUGGUGUAGAGGUGAAAUUCGUAGAUAUCAGGAGGAACACCGGUGGCGAAGGCGGGUCUCUGGGCCGAUACUGACGCUGAGGAGCGAAAGCGUGGGGAGCGAACAGG
rnacentral:rRNA from 1 species